UGCAGUCGAGCGGUAGAGAGAAGCUUGCUUCUCUUGAGAGCGGCGGACGGGUGAGUAAUGCCUAGGAAUCUGCCUGGUAGUGGGGGAUAACGUUCGGAAACGGACGCUAAUACCGCAUACGUCCUACGGGAGAAAGCAGGGGACCUUCGGGCCUUGCGCUAUCAGAUGAGCCUAGGUCGGAUUAGCUAGUUGGUGGGGUAAUGGCUCACCAAGGCGACGAUCCGUAACUGGUCUGAGAGGAUGAUCAGUCACACUGGAACUGAGACACGGUCCAGACUCCUACGGGAGGCAGCAGUGGGGAAUAUUGGACAAUGGGCGAAAGCCUGAUCCAGCCAUGCCGCGUGUGUGAAGAAGGUCUUCGGAUUGUAAAGCACUUUAAGUUGGGAGGAAGGGCAGUAAAUUAAUACUUUGCUGUUUUGACGUUACCGACAGAAUAAGCACCGGCUAACUCUCGUGCC
rnacentral:rRNA from 1 species